UACGUAGGGUGCAAGCGUUAAUCGGAAUUACUGGGCGUAAAGCGUGCGUAGGUGGUUUGUUAAGUCUGUUGUGAAAGCCCCGGGCUCAACCUGGGAAUGGCAAUGGAUACUGGCAGGCUAGAGUGCGGUAGAGGGUAGUGGAAUUCCCGGUGUAGCGGUGAAAUGCGUAGAGAUCGGGAGGAACACCAGUGGCGAAGGCGGCUACCUGGACCAGCACUGACACUGAGGCACGAAAGCGUGGGGAGCAAACAGG
rnacentral:rRNA from 1 species